CUCUCUCCCUCUGCCUCUCUCUCCCAGCCAGUAGCAUAGUGAGGGUCUCUCUCCCUCUGCCUCUCUCUCCCAGCCAGUAGCAUAGUGUGGGUCUCUCUCCCUCUCCCUCUCUCUCCCAGCCAGUAGCAUAGUGAGGGUCUCUCUCCCUCUGCCUCUCUCUCCCAGCCAGUAGCAUAGGUCUCUCUCCCUCUGCCUCUCUCUCCCAGCCAGUAGCAUAGUGUGGGUCUCUCUCCCUCUGCCUCUCUCUCCCAGCCAGUAGCAUAGUGAGUGUCUCUCUCCCCAGCCAGUAGCAUAGUGAGGGUCUCUCUCCCUCUCUCCCCAGCCAGUAGCAUAGCAUGGGUCUCUCUCCCAGCCAGUAGCAUAGUGAGGGUCUCUCUCCCAGCCAGUAGCAUAGUGUGAGGGUCUCUCUCUCCUCCCUCUCUCCCCAGCCAGUAGCAUAGCAUGGGUCUCUCUCCCAGCCAGUAGCAUAGUGUGGGUCUCUCUCCCAGCCAGUAGCAUAGUGUGGGUCUCUCUCCCCAGCCAGUAGCAUAGUGUGGGUCUCUCACCCAGCCAGUAGCAUAGUGAGGGUCUCUCUCCCUCUCUCCCCAGCCAGUAGCAUAGCGUGGGUCUCUCUCCCUCGUUUAACGAGGCUAAAAACACACCAACCACUUAGAGGACCAACCAGCUGAUAUGGAACUGUCUACCCUUCUCUAUAUACACAGCCAGCCAGCCAGCCUGCCUGCCUCCCCAUUCCCAUUCCCUCUCCCUCUCUGUCCUCAUUUCCCCAUUCCCUCUCCCUCUCUGUCCUCAUUUCCCCAUUCCCUCUCUCUCUCUGUCCUCAUUUCCCCAUUCCUUCUCCCUCUGGGUCCUAAUUUCCCCAUUCCCUCUCUGUCCUCAUUUCACCAUUCCUUCUCCCUCUCUGUCCUCAUUUCCCCAUUCCUUCUCCCUCUUUGUCCUCAUUUCCCCAUUCCUUCUCCCUCUCUGUCCUCAUUUCACCAUUCCUUCUCCCUCAUUUCAUCAUUCCUUCUCCCUCUCUGUCCUCAUUUCCCCAUUCCUUCUCC
ensembl:lncRNA